rnacentral:rRNA from 1 species
GACGAACCGUGCGAACGUUAUUCGGAAUCCCUGGGCUUAAAGCGCGUGUAGGCGGCCCGGCACGUCCGACGCUGAAAUCCCCCGGCUCAACCGGGGAACGGGCGCGGAUACGACCGGGCUGGAGGGGGGUAGGGGGCGCCGGAACUUCCGGUGGAGCGGUGAAAUGCGUUGAGAUCGGAAGGAACGCCCGUGGCGAAAGCGGGCGCCUGGACCCCACCUGACGCUGAGACGCGAAAGCUAGGGGAGCAAACAGG